CUGUCUCUUAAUAAUAAUAGAUUCAGUGAUCACUUACAUUUGAUAUAUCCAAGAGAACUUGAAAUUAAAGAUACUACCGACACAGAAAAAUCUGCUUCAUAUUUAGACCUUUUUCUCGAAAUGAGUACUGAUGGUAGGUUGAAUACCAAAAUUUAUGACAAACGCGAUGAUUUCAAUUUUCAUAUAGUCAACUUUCCGUUUCUGUGAAGCAACAUCCCAGCGGCACCAGCAUAUGGAGUAUAUGUGUCUC
rnacentral:lncRNA from 1 species